rnacentral:rRNA from 1 species
UACGAAGGGGGCUAGCGUUGUUCGGAAUCACUGGGCGUAAAGCGCACGUAGGCGGAUUCUUAAGUCAGGGGUGAAAUCCCGAGGCUCAACCUCGGAACCGCCUUUGAUACUGGGGAUCUCGAGUCCGGGAGAGGUGAGUGGAAUUGCGAGUGUAGAGGUGAAAUUCGUAGAUAUUCGCAAGAACACCAGUGGCGAAGGCGGCUCACUGGCCCGAUACUGACGCUGAGGCACGAAAGCGUGGGGAGCAAACAGG